rnacentral:rRNA from 1 species
GCUUGUCUCAAAGAUUAAGCCAUGCAUGUCUAAGUAUAAACAAAUCUAUACGUGAAACUGCGAAUGGCUCAUUAUAUCAGUUAUAGUUUAUUUGAUGGUUCAUACUACUUGGAUAACCGUAGUAAUUCUAGAGCUAAUACAUGCGUCAAAACCCAACUUCUGGGAGGGUUGUAUUUAUUAGAUUGAAACCAAUGCGGGGUAACCCGGUGUUUGGUGAUUCAUAAUAACUUUCGGAUCGCAUUUGCGAUGCAUCAUUCAAGUUUCUGCCCUAUCAGCUUUGGAUGGUAGGGUAUUGGCCUACCAUGGCAUUAACGGGUAACGGAGGAUUUGGGUUCGAUUCCGGAGAGGGAGCCUGAGAAAUGGCUACCACAUCCAAGGAAGGCAGCAGG